UAGGGAAUCUUCGGCAAUGGACGAAAGUCUGACCGAGCAACGCCGCGUGAGUGAAGAAGGUUUUCGGAUCGUAAAACUCUGUUGUUAGAGAAGAACAAGGACGUUAGUAACUGAACGUCCCCUGACGGUAUCUAACCAGAAAGCCACGGCUAACUACGUGCCAGCAGCCGCGGUAAUACGUAGGUGGCAAGCGUUGUCCGGAUUUAUUGGGCGUAAAGCGAGCGCAGGCGGUUUCUUAAGUCUGAUGUGAAAGCCCCCGGCUCAACCGGGGAGGGUCAUUGGAAACUGCGAGGCUUGAGUGCAGAAGAGGAGAGUGGAAUUCCAUGUGUAGCGGUGAAAUGCGUAGAUAUAUGGAGGAACACCAGUGGCGAAGGCGGCUCUCUGGUCUGUAACUGACGCUGAGGCUCGAAAGCGUGGGGAGCAAACAGG
rnacentral:rRNA from 1 species